rnacentral:rRNA from 1 species
UACGGGGGGGCAAGCGUUGUUCGGAAUUACUGGGCGUAAAGGGCUCGUAGGCGGCCAACUAAGUCGGACGUGAAAUCCCCAGGCUCAACCUGGGAACUGCGUCCGAUACUGGAUGGCUUGAAUCCGGGAGAGGGAUGCAGAAUUCCAGGUGUAGCGGUGAAAUGCGUAGAUAUCUGGAGGAACACCGGUGGCGAAGGCGGCAUCCUGGACCGGUAUUGACGCUGAGGAGCGAAAGCCAGGGGAGCGAACAGGA